rfam:Toxocara canis scaffold1503, whole genome shotgun sequence.
GCCCUUCGGUCAGUCGGUAGAGCAUCAGACUUUUAAUCUGAGGGUCGUGGGUUCGAGUCCCACAGAAGGCG